CCUCGAAUCAGGUGGGACUACCCGCUGAACUUAAGCAUAUCAAUAAGCGGAGGAAAAGAAACUAACAAGGAUUCCCCUAGUAACGGCGAGUGAAGCGGGAUGAGCUCAAAUUUAAAAUCUGAUAGUCUUUGGCUGUCCGAGUUGUAAUCUAGAGAAGUGUUUUCCGCGUUGGACCAUGUACAAGUUUCCUGGAACGGGAACGUCAUAGAGGGUGAGAAUCCCGUCCUUGACAUGGACUACCAGUGCUUUGUGAUACACUCUCAACGAGUCGAGUUGUUUGGGAUUGCAGCUCAAAAUGGGAGGUAAAUUCCUUCUAAAGCUAAAUAUUGGCGAGAGACCGAUAGCGAACAAGUACCGUGAGGGAAAGAUGAAAAGCACUUUGGAAAGAGAGUUAAACAGUACGUGAAAUUGUUAAAAGGGAAACGAUUGAAGUCAGUCGCGUUUACUUGGACUCAGCCUUACCUCGGUUUGGUGCAUUUCCUUGUGAACGGGCCAGCGUCAAUGUUGUCCGUUGGAAAAGGGUUGGAGAAAUGUGGCUCUUUCGGGAGUGUUAUAGUCUCUGAUCGUAUACAACGGCUGAUAUUGAGUGGUACAGCAUGCUUCGGCGGUGCUUGUGCUGGCAUAAU
rnacentral:rRNA from 1 species